AAGUCGUAACAAGGUUUCCGUAGGUGAACCUGCGGAAGGAUCAUUAAAAAUUUUACCAGAAUAAGAAAAAUUUUUUUUUUUCUGGUAACGUGCACCGUAUCGUUUCUCCUUGGCAGGGGCUUUGGUUUAUUCCAACUUUCGCGCUGGCUCCAUCCCCCCUCUUUGUUGUGUGGGGACAGCUGGCGUGUGAAGCCGUUUCCCUGCCGAGGAAAUUCAUAAAUCACGCUUUUUUUUUGCAAAAAACUUUUUGUCUGAAACUUUUUUUUUGCGAUUGCGAAUAAAAAGCACGCAUAAAAUCAAAUAUAACUUUCAACAACGGAUCUCUUGGCUCUC
rnacentral:misc_RNA from 1 species